rnacentral:tRNA from 1 species
GAUUUUGAGUGUGGAUAACGCGUCUGCCUACGGAGCAGAAGAUUGUAGGUUCAAAUCCUGCCAGGAUCG